AUAGAGAAUUAGUGUAUUAGGACCAAUGAAAUCUAUACUUUCAGAUAUGGGAAUAUUGCCAGACACACCAUAACCUACUUACUGCAACAUAUGAGCAGAAUUCCUACCAGGCUAUAAAAUGUUAAGCCUAUCCACCUUUAUAUGAGCGAUUGCUUUUGUUUAUUAAUUGCUUGCAGCUUUUUAUAUUGGGAAUUUGGAAAAUAGAGAUUUUUUGGGUGGUGGAUGGGGUUCGUAAUUAGACAUUGGCUACCUCUGCAUGCUUGCCUUUCUCUAAUGUCUUCACAAGGCCAGCCUGACGACAAAUCUGAGCAGCGAUUUCAUUGUGAGGUAGACCAGCAGCAGAAAAGAGAGGAAUAAUCUUUCGCCCAUCGCCGAGGGAGUCCAACCACCUGCAUCGGCCUUCGCCCACCGCCGAGCGGCGCCAACAAACACGGCCGUCCUCUACGUCGGAGGUCGAUUCCGAUGCGAUGCUGAUCUUCCAACCUACGCCGCCGCGCUGACACGUCCCGCCCUAAAACGCGACGUUACGGCGAGCUUCGCUUCGUCCGGCCGACGCUCAGCGAUGUCGCGCACAGUCGUUGAUUAGAAGAACAUAAUUGGCGCCGCCACCAGACGCAGGACAACAUCACGCUCUGGGCGGACGUUUGACGACCUCGCGCUGUACUUCAACGGCGCAACCAGGCCGCCGACCACCAUCUACGCCCAUGGCGCAACACGGCAGCUACGACCAUCGUGUUCCACUAGGGGACAUAACGAACCCACAGAUCCGACAACCUGUUUCUAGGAAAAGGACAAGAGAUUCAGAAAACGAUGCUGAUCUAAAAGCUGAUAGGCCGAAAAAAGCAAGAGAUCGUUAUGAGAAUAUGCCACCAGAAAAGAAAGUAGAACUUAAUGCAAAGAGAAGGCAAAACUAUCAGCAAAAACAGACAGAGAAACGAUCUCUAGGUUUGUUACAUGUUGAUUGAUGUUAUUUGUAAUUUUCAUGCCUAAAUAUAUUGUGUGAUGCAUAUAAUAUGAGAGUUGAUUCCAGCAAUGAUGAAUACACCCCAGUCAGGAGCAGGGGCGGAUACAGGAGGGGGGCUAGGGGGGCUCAAGCCCCCCUAAGCUCUCCUAAUUACACGUAAAACACUGUAGCAAGACAUCCAAAUCACCAUUAAAUCUUCACACAAAUCAACAUCUCUAUUGUUUCAGCCCCCCUUGCCUCCAAUCCUGCAUCCGCCACUGGUCAGGAGUGUCACAUGUAGAUGGGACCCCAAGUUUUAAUGAGACACCUCGUUCUACCAUGAUCCACAGUGUUGCAACUGCAGGUUAUGCAUAAUUUCUUAUACUUUAAUUAUGAAGAAAAUGGGCACUUAAUGUUUUUUUUUUUACCGGUGAUAGGACUGACAGGCUUUCCGUCUUCAGCAUUGGGGCAUGUGGAUGCAUCUACAAUCUCGGCUGCUGGUGUUGCGGAAAGUGAGCAAGAAUACGUGCUCAUGGAUCAUCAUGAAGCUGCAUUGACGGAUACACCACAUUCAGCAGUGUUACAUGUUGAUGGCAUCUCAUCUUUCAUGAAGACACCACAGACGCCAGUUACCCCCGUCGGUGGUUUAGCAGGACUAACAGACUACCCACCUUCGGCACUGUUGCAUGUGGGUGAAUCUGCAGUUUACAAUAGAACUACUGGUUUAGGCGCAAACGAGCAAUUUGAAGUGCCCAUAAAUCAACAUGAAACUGAUGAUGGUGCCACUAUCUCGCCCAGAAGUGCAAGAAAAUAAAAGAAAAGAGAUAUGGACCGAAUUAGGUGGGCAAUGACCUCAAAUGAAAAAAAGGACUGAAAUGAAUGCCAGACGAAAGGAACAAUAUAAUAGUAAAAAGAAUGAAGGUGUAAACUUUGGGAAACAAAAAUUUGACUCUGGUAUUUGGGAACCUGAUGAUGGUUUGUUUGCCGCACAAGCAGAGGAGGAUCUGGAUUGCAUGGCACCAGAUUGUGGCCCUGAUCUUGAUGAUUUCACAGAUGACGAAGCAAGAGUCUAUCAUGCUAAUGACAUCAAGAUCGUCUCGUUCAGGGAACCGGAAGUGGUUAUCUUGGAUAAUGAUCCUUAUUCAAGAGUAUACAAUGAUCUGCCUGCUGGUCAUCUUGUGUUGAGGAAAAUACCUAUAUGCGAGUAUUGCGGUGCUAUAAGGUUACCAAACGAGGGGCUCAAUUUUUGUUGCAGGCAAGGAAAGGUUAAUAUAGUGAGCACACCAAUUCCGUCUGAUCUGUGUCGCCUAUUUACAAGCCAGACAGAUAGAGAUGCCUUGUAUUUCAGAAAAAAUAUACGGUACUUCAAUUCUCAUUUUUCAUUCACAAGCUUUGGAGCUAAUGUGGACCAUAAAGUCGCUACUGCAGCUGGUACUUGUAUAUAUACUUUCAAAGUGCAUGGACAGAUUUACCACAGAUUGGACCAACUGAGACUGGGGAAAGAAGGCCCCCAUCAUAUGCAGUUGUACUUCUAUGACACUGAUGAGACCCUAUCACAAAGAACCAAAAGAUCACCCCAUCUUGAUUCAAAAUAGAUUAGGGCUAUUCUUCGAAUACUUGAGAACAAUCCGUAUGUUCGUGUUUUCAGGACUGUGGGUCAGAUGAAAAAAUUGGACGAGUUGAAGAUUGAAUUGAACACUAGUAUUUCUGUUGAUCAGAGAAGAUAUAAUGCACCUGCUAUGAACCAGGGUGCGGCUAUCUGGCAGGAUGGCUUUGAUGAAAAAAAAACAAAUUUAAACGGAGUAUUAUGGUUUUUCCAAAUUCUUUGGGACCAUAAUUUAUACGGGCAUUCCAUGGUUGUUAUGAUCUGUUAGCGUACCCUAUCCUAUAUCCCGGUGGUGAGACUGGCUGUGAGGACAAGAGUAUAUUGUUGGAGGAAACACCUACAAUACGCUUUUCGAGAACUAGACGGAAAUAUACAAAGCGGAAAUCUGAGGAUGCUCCGAAGGGAAAUUCUCAGGUGACAUGUAGAUCGGGUGUUAAACGGAGACUUGUAGAAACAACAAUUCAAGAUAUUUGUGAGGAACAAGGUGACUGUGACGACAACAUAGAUGAAGACGGUGAAGGAGGAGGUAGUGGAAAACGUUUGCAUGUCAGCGCAAGGGAGUAUUAUUGCUAUAUGAUGCAGAUCCGAAAUGGAGUUUUUAAUAUAUUCUUUCAUGGUGGGAGGCUUUUUCAGCAAUGGAUAGUGGAUAUAUAUGUCAAAAUAGAAAGUAUGCGGUUAGAUUGGUACUCCAAUCCAGAACACCAAAAAAUUAUUAGAGCGGAUCUCUAUCAGGGUAUAAUGGACACCCUUGCUGCCGGAGAGCAUAGAGGUCUGAAGGCUGGUAAAUUGGUUGUUUUAUCUAAGAAUUUUCCUAGAAGUGAUAGAGAUGUGCAGUGCAGAUUCAUGGAUGCAAUGUCAUUAGUAGCUAAAUAUGGAAAGCCAGAUUACUUUUUAACCAUGACUUGCAACCCGUACUGGCCGGAGAUCACAGAACUUUUGUUGCCUGGGCAGACACCUUAAGAUAGACCAGAUAUUGUGGCGAGGGUUUAUCAUGCAAAACUCAUUGAUUUCCAUGACUUUGUUAUUAAGAAGAGGUUCUUUGGGAAAGUGGCAGCUUGGGCACACGUUACUGAGUUUCAGAAAAGAGGUUUGCCGCAUGAACAUUUCUUGCUUAUAAUGGACAACAGUUCAAAGCUUAGUGGGCCAGAUGAUUUUGACAAAUAUAUUUCAGCAGAACUUUCGGAUGAAAGGAAAUACCCUCUUCUCCAUGAACUUGUUUGCAAACAUAUGAUGCAUGGCCCUUGUGGUGUUCUUAACAGAAAUUGUGGUUGCAUGCAGGAUGGUGCUUGCCGUUUCAGAUACCCUAAACAGUUCAGUGAGACCACAGAGCAAGGAAAGGAUGCAUAUCCUAUAUACAGAAGACGGAAUGAUGGUCACAAGGUAUUUGUGCGUAAAAAUGGUUGGAUAAUAGUUGGGUUGUACCAUAUAAUCCAACACUCCUGAUGAGAUAUAAUUGUCACAUCAAUGUUGAAGUUUCAAGCAGUAUCAAAGGUUGCAAGUAUCUUUAUAAAUAUGUAUACAAGGGCACGGACUGUGCAUGAUUCGCAAUUGCGAAUCAAGACCAGAAUGGAGAGAUAGAGAUAAAUGAAAUUAAAUAGUGCAGGAAGGCACGGUGUAUAACGUCUAUUGAAGCAGUAUACCGGCUCUAUAGGUUCCCAAUGUUUUUCAUGUAUCCCCUUGUUUUACAGAUGCAAGUUCAUCUUCCUGGCAUGUAUAUGGUCCCAUUCAAUGAUGAAGACAACCUUGCAGAUGUGCUGGAGCGCAUUAGGAACCAAAGAUCGAUGCUAACAGAAUUCUUUAGAAUGAACAGCAAAGAUCCAAACGCUCGAAGAUACUUAUACAGGGAAUUUUAUACAUGGAAUAAGUCCAAAAAAGUUUGGUCUACUAGAAAAAGAAGUUACCAGAUUGGAAGGUUGGUGUAUGCGUACCCGUCUGAGGGCGAAAGAUUCUAUCUUCGAGUUCUUCUAAAUCAUGUUCGAGGUCCAACAUCAUUCAUAUCAAUCAGAACAGUUCAUGGUGUGGUGAGUCCUACUUUUAGAGAAUGUUGUGGGAAACUUGGUCUUGUUGAAACAGAUAGGUCACUCGACAAUGCACUUAGCGAAGAAGUAGCUUUUCAGAUGCCAUGUGCUCUCAGAAAAAUGUUUGCCACUAUUAUGGUUUUGAGUACACAAACAUUCGUACCCUCUGGGAUAAACAUUUUGACUCAAUGGCUGAGGACUAUGUGCGGGUUCAUGGAAAUUCUUCAAGUGUUGAACAAUUUGUCUUUAGGGACAUCGCGAUAUUCUCUCCUCGAUGGGUAAAGACAUCAGAAAUUACGGCCUGUCACAUAUGCAUCAGUCUGAUGAGACAAAUAGAGAUUAUUAUAGGGAACUAACUGAGGAGAGGAAAAUUGUUGUAUCUGAUGAAGAUAUUAAAUUAGCCGAGUCUCUCAAUACUGAGCAAAUGAAAGGUUUUAACGAAAUUUUUUAUUAUGUUAUCAGAAAUAAAGGGAAAGUUUUCUUUGUGGAUGGUUCUGGCGGGACCGGCAAGACAUAUCUUUACAGAGCUCUUUUGGCCAAAGUUCGAUCUACGGACCGCAUCGCAGUGGCUACAGCUACAUCCGGUAUUGCAGCAUCCAUCAUGCCUGGUGGUCGUACGGCUCAUUCGAGGUUCAAAAUUCCCAUAAAACUUCAAAAUAAUUCUAUUUGCAAUUUUACGUGAGGCAUCUUUAAUUAUAUGGGAUGAGGUUGCGAUGACACAAAGGCAGGCUAUGGAAACACUUGACAGAUCGUUACGGAAUAUUACAGGAUGUGAUUUACCGUUUGGUGGUAAAGUAAUGGUAUUUGAAGGAGAUUUCAGACAAGUUCUACCUGUUGUUCCUAGAGAUACUAGAGCACAAAUUUGUGACGCUACCUUGCUUCAAUCCUAUAUAUGGGAUGAUAUCAAGAUAAUACGGCUGAAGCAGAACAUGAGGGCCCAGAAUGAUGUAUGGUUCUCGCAGUUUCUAUUAAGAAUUGGUGAUGGAACAGAAAAGACCUUCCCAAAUGAUUAUGUGGAUCUACCAGAUGACAUUAUGCUUGAGUAUAAUGAUGAUCAGUCUAUUGAUACUCUCAUCGAUCAUGUGUUUCCUGAUCUAGCUAACAGUUGCACCUCCAUCAGUUACAUGCGCGAGCAUGCUAUCUUGUCAACAAGAAAUGAGUAUGUUGAUAGCCUCAACGCGAUGAUGAUUGCAAAGUUUCCUGGAGCAGAAAAGAUUUAAUACAGUCAUGAUUCUGUAGAUGAUGACUCAACUAAUAACUAUUCUCUUGAUUUUCUGAACUCAAUUACUCCAAAUGGUCUUCCUCCGCAUGAUUUUAAAAUUAAGAAGAACUAUCCAGUCAUACUUCUUCGAAAUCUAGAUCCUCAUCAUGGACUGUGCAAUGGAACUCGACUUAUAGUGAAGGCUUUUGAGAACAAUGCAAUUGAUUGUGAAAUUGUAAAUGGAUAGCAUGCUGGAAAUCGAGUUUUUAUACCAAGGAUUCCCUUGUUUCCAUCAGAGGAUAUUUCACUACCUUUCAAGUUCAAGAGGAAACAAUUUCCAAUAAGACUCAGUUUUGCAAUGACUAUAAAUAAAACUCAGGGUCAAACUAUACCAAAUGUUGGGAUCUAUCUUCCAGAGCCUGUUUUCUCUCAUGGACAACUAUAUGCUGUCUUAUCAAGAUGUGUUUCACGUUCAACUACAUGGAUGCUAGCUAAACCUAACAAAGAUCUUGAUCCCACCGGCAGAAGAACCAAAAAUAUUAUUUUUAGAGAUAUUCUACGGUCUUCAAAAUGAAGUGACACCGGAGUCCAUCAUAAAUGGGAUAUGAGUUGGAAAUUAAAUUCUGGCGACAUGGUGUGAAGAUUCUGCAUCAUUAAAUUUUUAUAAUAUGUAUGUUAGAUGUAGCAUUCAUAUGUGGAUUUUCUGAAAAAAAGAUGUGCUACAAUCAAGAUAUGACCAAUGUAAAUAUUUUAUUCUUACCUUUACCCUUCUAUAUAAUUCUUGCGAUGUCAUUAAUGGGUUGUAUGCAUAUAUGGUCAUGUCCAUAUGAUCUGUAUAUCUCAAAAUUUUCAUUUUGGGUAAAUUUGUAUCGAAUAAUGUACUAAAUAUUGUAUCCACAAGCUAAUGGUAGAUGUGGCUAUGAAUACAUAUUUUUUGUAACAUAAUUAUUUUAUUUGGUUUUUUUAAAACACGUGCAUGCCGCACGUGCACCCCUACUAGUCGAACUAAUGAUUUGGUUUCGGGGCC